ACUACUGGGUGCCGCCCGUUGUAACACCCGAAGUCGUGAGGUAACCGUGAGGGCCAGCCGCCUAAGGUGGGAUAGAUGAUUGGGGUGAAGUCGUAACAAGGUAGCCGUAUCGAAGGUGCGGCUGGAUCACCUCCUUUCUAAGGAUAAGGAACUGCGCAUUGGUCUUGUUUAGUCUUGAGAGGUCUUGUGGGGCCUUAGCUCAGCUGGGAGAGCGCCUGCUUUGACGCAGGAGGUCAGCGGUUCGAUCCCGCUAGCCUCCAUUGGUGAGAGAUCACCAAGUAAUGCACAUUGAAAAUUGAAUAUCUAUAUCAAAUAGUAACAAGAAAAUAAACCGAAAACGCUGUAGUAUUAAUAAGAGUUUAUGACUGAAAGGUCAGAAAAUAAGGUUAAGUUAAUAAGGGCGCACGGUGGAUGCCUUGGCACUAGGAGCCGACGAAGGACGUGACAACGACGAUAUGCCUUGGGGUAGCUGUAAGUAGCGAUGAUCCAGGGAUUUCCGAACGGGGGAAAAACCACAAAAGGCCCCGGGAAACUUUUUCCCCAGGCCCGGGGACCGUUUUUCCCCAGCCUCCGGAACACUUAUUCACAAGCCCCGGUUUAUAAUAUAAAAAACUUCAUUUAUUCUGCUCGACAAGAAAAGAAAGAACUGAAGGGGGCGCGUGUGCGGGUAGAUUUGUUUUUAGCUAGUCGCUCCCGACAAUAAUAUUUUUUAUUUUUGUUGGUGGUAUAUCAAUAGAGGGGGACGGGGGCGGGGGCGCCGCGCCCUCUGUAUAUACUAAGAGUAUAUGGAGAAAGAAAGAGAGUAAAAGUUACGAGAUAUGUGAACUGAGUAGACGCAGCCGUCGCUCGCUACUGAUGUUUGUUAUUAUUUGAUUAGUUCGUUAUAUACGUUAAGGAUCGCCGGGCAGGUGGGGGCGAGAGUGGGGGA
rnacentral:misc_RNA from 1 species